GAGUUGAUGGAAGAAGAUACUUUCUGUUUUGGAUAAAAGGAGCUGUAACACCAGCUGCUCAGCCUCCUUAUUCCACGCCCCACCCUCACCCCCAGACCGUUUUGGGGAAAAUCAAAACCUAAACUCUUGUUCUGGGACAGAUCCUGGGUUUCGUUUGAUUGAUUUUCAUUUCGAAAAGUGUUGCACUUGGCCUUUUAAAAAAAUAUGCCCUGGGAUUGUUUCACCAGUCACAUGACAGAAUUUAAACACCAAAUUCCUUCUCAGAGUGCCUGCUACGGGGCUGUGUUUCUGGUCUGUGGUUCAUCAGAAGAGACCGGUGCUGAUGGACCCCCAGGAUCUGAUGUCGCGAUUCCCCACUGAGAGACUUCUCUUUUCCUUGUGUUUUAUGCAACCAGCAGUCUUUCCCCUUGUCCUCUGCCAUUCAAGCUAUUGACCUAAAGAAAGGAAAGGUUUUAGCACUUUUGGUUUAAAAGCCACUUGGAGAAACCUGGUGGGAUGGAUCAGAAGCUUCUAGUACCGACCCUUGUUGGUCGGAGAGUCUGCACCGGACUUUCUGUCUGAGCUGAGCCGCGGAUGCGAGUCCCCCUGGAAAAGAAGCAGCAGAGGUGGCCCACGUGGGAGACAGAAACAUACGUGUUUGGCUCAGACUUCAGGAGACGGUUUGCUUAGCAUAAGCGAUGUGAUUUCUUUGUCUGGCAACCUCAUUAUUGUUUUCUAGCACUAACCUGGGAUGUCAUGCUUGAGUAGGGUAACCCUUUGCCCUCCCCAUCAUCACCUUGCCUGCCUCUUCCUGGCCAGGUCAGUUGUCCCUAUUCUGACACCAAACCCGUUACAUCAGUGCUUUGAAGAAUGGUUGCUCCUGACCGGGGAGCUUAGUUUACAGCAGCCGGGAACGCCAGCACUGUGUGUGGUGACAUCGUACCCAAAGAUCGUCUUCAGUUGCCUGGAAGGUGUCACCUGGUAUGCCAAGGAGCUGUAAUAUCACCUGGUUCUUUAAGAAGUUGGUUGGGCUGCACUCCUUGCGCCUGGUGUGUAAGGGAAUAUGGCAGAUGGGCCACCAGCCACAGUGCGGUCCAGGCUGGAAUCAUUUUCUGUAAGCAGGUGAGUGGCGAGGACCUGGGAGGGAGGCAGGUGCUCCCGCCCUUUGGAUUCCAGACCUGUCUAUCAGUGCAUCUUAAUCCCCGAAGUGCUUUGAGGCUGGUGGGUAAUAAAAUGACUCCCUCCUCCUCCCA
ensembl:lncRNA